rnacentral:lncRNA from 1 species
UGAGACAAGAGAAAGAGACUGAUUGUUGCUGAGUCCCUGCUGCAGUCCUGACACAGCUCUCCUUAUUUUGUUGAUGCUCAUGAGGACCCUGAUGUCUGAGGAAGAAGGUUCACAUCCAACUCUGCCCCUGGUGUGUCACGUGCCGGCCUUGUCAACGCACACGAGAACCUGACAGGGUCCCAUGGAAUUCAGACAAGGAAGUAAAGCAAAUGAGAAUGGCCCACAGGGGAGCAGUUCAAAUGCGCAGAAAAAGAUAGAGCAGCCCCAAUGAGGAAGGAAGGCUGGACAAGAAAUGGAUUUGUAGGGAAGACAAUGUGCACCCAUCGGAGCUCUGAUUGCUUUACUUUCACUACCCUCCCCUGCCCACUAACAUCGAAAAAGU